ACUAGGUUUGGGCACGAAGCGGAU
rnacentral:siRNA from 1 species